rnacentral:lncRNA from 1 species
GAGAUGUAGGUAUACUUAGUUCAAGAAAAUCGAGAGGAAGUAUGGAGUAUGCAUCCAAAUUUGUAGAAAGAGCUGUCGAUGUUGUGUUGGACCUGACUGUUCGGCAUGUGGGUUACAUCUUCUAUUACAAGGACAAUGUUAGUGAACUAAACAAUCUUGUUGAGAAGCUAAGUCUUGAAAGAAAGAGGCUGGAACAUCGAGUAGAUGAAGCUGAGGAUAAUCUAGGAAUAACCGAAAGUAAUGUUGCAGCUUGGCUUCAGAAAGUGGAUAAAACUAGAACUGAAACGGAGGAGUUUCAAGAUGAUGAAGGCCACACGAAGACAAGGUUUUCCAGUGGUUUAUUUCAUUACCUGAGGAACAGACAUAGACUAGGGAGAAAAGCAAAGAAGAUGGCAGUGGAUGUCAAGUUAUUAAUAGACGAGUCGAAGUUUGAUGGAGUUUCCUAUCAGCAAAAGCCAACAUCUAUGCAUGCUGCUUUGUUUAAUGAUGGCUAUGUAGAAUUUGGUUCUAGAACAUGCACAAUUGAAAGGAUAAUGGAAAAACUAGAAGAUUCUACAGCGAGAAUGAUUGGAGUGCAUGGGCCAGGUGGUGUGGGUAAGAGCACUUUAAUCAAAGAAAUUGUUAAGAAAGCUCAAGUCAAGAAGUUGUUCAAUGUGGCAGUUAUAGUAGAAAUAAAUGACAAUCCCAAUCUGCGAAAAAUCCAGGAAGAAAUUGCGUACGUGUUAGGAUUGAAUUUGGAAGGGGAAGGUGAGACUGUGAGAGCAGAUCGUCUAAGAAGGAGGUUAAAGAAAGAGAGGGAGAACACCCUUGUCGUCAUGGAUGACCUUUGGGACAGAAUAGACUUGAAUAAGAUAGGGAUUCCAUUUGACGAUGAUAUGGACGAUGAUUCAAGCCGUCUGAAAAUUGAAGAUAUGAAAGAUCCUAACUUCACAAUGGUGAAAAAAGGAAAAUCUCCUGGUGAUUAUAAAGGGUGUAAAGUUUUGCUAACUUCGAGAGAUAGAAAAGUAUUGUCUGAUAAAAUGGACGUCAAGUCAGUUUUCUGUGUAAGGGAAUUAGAUGAUAAGGAAUCUCUAAUGUUGUUUAAGGAGGAGGCUGGAAUACAUGCUGAAAUGUCCACAUUUAAACAGGAGAUUGUUAAGAAGUAUUGUGCAGGGAUACCCAUGGCAAUUGUUACUGUUGCAAGGGCAUUAAGAAAUAAGAGCGAGUCAGUGUGGGAAGCCACACUUGAAAAACUUAAAAAAGAGGAACUGAGUGGAGUGCAGAAAUCUAUGGAGAUUUCUGUGAAGAUGAGUUAUGAUCAUCUAGAAAGUGAGGAGCUCCGGUCCAUUUUCUUACUUUGUGCUCAAAUGGGUCAUCAACAAUUAAUUAUGGACUUGGUGAAGUAUUGCUUUGGAUUGGGUAUACUUGAAGGGGUCUAUACGCUAAGAGAAGCCCGUGAUAGAGUAUAUGCAUCAAUUCAAAAGCUAAAAGACUCGAGUUUGAUGUUGGAUUGUAGUUCCAAUGAUCAUUUCAAUAUGCAUGAUAUGGUUCAAGAUGCCGCUUUGUCUAUAGCACACAAGGAGAAAAAUGUAUUUGCUUUGAGAAAUGGCAAAUUAGAUGACUGGCCGGACAAGGAUAUACUCGAGAGGUGUAGUGCUAUCUCUAUACGCAACUGUGAUAUCAUUGACGAGCUUCCUAAAGUCAUACAUUGUCCUCAGCUUAAGUUCUUCCAAAUUGACAGCAAUGAUCCUUCUUUGAAAAUACCUGAGAAUUUUUUUGUAGGAAUGGAAAAACUCAGAAUAUUAAUAUUGACUGGUUUUCAUUUAUCGUGCUUACCAUCUUCGAUUAAAUUCCUAUUAAACCUCAGAAUGCUUUGUUUGGAGCGGUGUGCUCUAGGUGAAAACUUAUCCAUCGUAGGAGAGCUGAAAAAAUUAAGAAUUCUCAGCUUUUCUGGAUCUCAAAUUGAAAACUUGCCAGCUGAGUUAGGGUUCUUAGAUAAGCUACAGUUAUUUGACAUCAGUGACUGUUCCAUAAUGAAGGGGGUUUCACCUAAUUUUAUAUCAAGGUUGACAUGUUUAGAAGAGUUGUAUAUAAGAAAGAGCUUGAUCAAAGUGGUGGUUGAUGGAGAGCCAAACCAAAGUCAAAUUUCAUUUCUUUCUCAGUUAAAACAUUUACACCAAUUGAGGGUUGUAGACUUAUGAAUCCCGAGUGCUGCAGUUUUGCCUAGGGACUUGUUCUUUGACAGGUUAACUGAUUACAAAAUUGUGAUUGGAGACUUCAAGAUGCUUUCAGUUGGAGAUUUCAGGAUGCCAAAUAAGUACAAAGCAUUAAGAUCUUUGGCAUUGCUAACAGACGGCACUGACAUUCACGCUCAGAAAGGGAUAAAGUUGUUGUUUAAAGGAGUUGAAAAUUUGUUGUUGGGAGAGCUAAAUGGUGUUCAAAAUGUUUUUUAUGAGUUGAAUUUGGAUGGAUUUCCAGAUCUUAAAAAUUUAUCCAUCAUAAAUAACAAUGGCAUUGAAUAUAUUGUUAAGUCCAUAGAGCUGCUCAAUCCUCAGAAUGUUUUUCUCAAUUUGGAAUCUCUAUGCCUCUACAAACUGAGGAAGAUAAAGAUGCUGUGUUAUACUCCAGUUACAGAUGCCUCAUUUGCCAAAUUAAAAACCAUCAAGGUCAAGAUGUGUACCCAGAUGAAGACUCUCUUCUCCUUUUACAUGGUUAAAUUUCUUGCUAGUCUAGAAACAAUUGAUGUUUCUGAAUGUGAUUCUUUGGAGGAGAUUGUUGUUAAGGAAGGGCAAGCAAAUUUUAAUAAGGUUGAGUUUAAUAAGCUACGCUCUUUAACACUACAAUCGUUACCAUUAUUUACUAGUUUUUAUACCUGUGUUGAGAUGCCCUCUACAGAAGAGCAAAUAACAAAAAGAGAUCACAUAGAAAUUACUGUUGCAGAAGAUGAUCACAGUGUCAUGGAUCCCCUUUCACUCUUUGGUGAACUGGUAUGAUAUUGCAUAAUAUCCCUCCUGUUUUUGUUGAUUUGUGAUUUUUCUCUCUCUUUCACUUGAUACAAAUAUAGUAAUUCCGUGUGUUCUUGCAGAUUGAAAUUCCAAACCUGGAGAGUUUGAAGUUAUCCUCAAUCAAAAGUCAUAGGAUAUGGAGAGAUCGGCCACUAUCAAAUUUCUGCUUUCACAAUUUAAUAAAAUUAACUGUGAAUGAUUGCUAUAACUUAAAAUACUUAUGUUCAUUGUCUGUGGCUAGCAAUUUUAAGAAAUUGAAAGGCCUUUUUAUAAGUGAUUGUGGGAUGAUGGAGAAGAUUUUUAUCACUGAAGGAAACAGUAUAGACAAGGUAUGCAAAGGUGUAAAGUUGUAGUUUACUUAAUGUUGUGUAUACAGUUCUUUCUUGCUCUUGUGCAUUUUUGUUGAGUAUUUGAGUUCAUUGCCAUAUGGCUUUUAUUCAUUAAAAUUCAGGUCUGCAUCUUUCCUAAGUUGGAGGAAAUCCACCUCACCAAACUGAAUAGGUUGCAAGAUAUAUGGCAAGUUGAAGUUGGCGCCGAUUCCUUUUCUAGUCUCAUUUCUGUGCAUAUUGAAGAGUGUAAUAAACUUGACAAGAUUUUUCCUAGUCACAUGACAGGAUGGUUUGGGAGUUUAGAUAGCUUGAAGGUUAUUAAUUGCAUGUCAGUGGAAGUGAUUUUUGAAAUCAAAGAUUUUCAACAAAUGGAUGCAUCUAGGAUGGACACAAACUUGCAGCUUAUUGUGGUAGAGCAACUACUAAACCUGAAGCAAGUAUGGGACAGAGAUCCACAAGGAAUUCUUAGGUUCAAAAAUCUGCGGAAUAUAAAGGUUUUAAAUUGUAAUCAGCUAGGCUAUGUCUUGCCAGCUUCUGUGGCCAAAGAUCUAAAAAGGCUUGAAGGCAUUUCGCUAAAUAUUUGUGAUAGAAUGGAGGAAAUUGUUGCUUGGGAUGAUGGACCACAAACACGAUUAGUGUUUCCUGAAGUAACCUUCAUGAAACUUUAUGGCCUGCCAAAAGUUAAGCGUUUCUAUAAGGAGGGACAUAUAGAAUGUCCAAAACUGAAGCAGUUGGCUGUGGACUUUUGUGAGAAGCUGGACAUGUUCACAGCAGAAACCACAAAUGAAGAAAGACAAGCAGUUUUCUUAGCUGAAAAGGUAAGGAACUAUUAACUGCUAUCCAAUUGUUCCAACACAUAAGAAUUACAUAUUUAAAUUGACAUCAAGAGAAAACAAAAUACCCAAUUUAAAAUGAAAAUAAAUAGGGAAAGUAAAUGCUUAAAAUUUUAUCCAAAAGUGUAGCACUCACUCACACACAACUUAAACACGGAGAAUAUCAUGCAUGAAAGUCUUCUCCCCUACCGUUUUUUAUACAAUGUUACCAUGUAUGAUUAGAUCAUGUAGCUUUUUAUGUAAUCUAUUGAAACUCUUCACAACCAAUUAACUUUUGUCAAAAUUGCAUCAUCAUCAUCAUUGUUGUUGUUGUUGUUGUUAUAGUAGAAAAUCCCUCUAAAGGCAUCUAGUCACAUAUCCCCUUCAUAUGUCUCCCUUAUUGUUCCUUUUUUAAGAAUAAAAUUAUUCAAACUUCCACAUUGGAUAUGGCCCAAAAUUAGGUUUUAUAAGUGGGAGACAUCCCUCACCUCUAAGCUAGUUUUGUGGGAUUGAGUUUGGUACAUCCCAAAUUCUAAGAUAGUUUUAGAGCCUAUUCAAAAUCCAUUGGGCAACCUUCUGGCGGGCCAUCCAUAUCAUGUCCAAUUGUAGGCGUGAGGUGGGUGUGUUGAGAGUCUCAUAUUGAAUUGCAUAUGGCCUGAAAUAAUGUUUUUAAGUGGAGACAUCCCUCACCUUAAAAGCCAUUUUGUCGCAAUCCAAAACCAAGAAAAAUAAAAUGGCAUAUGAACGAAAAAACUAGCAAUUAAGAAAGAGAAUGUUACCACUUAAAACAAUGCUAGCAACACAAUAUAAAAUUAAGACAUAUUCUUUUUAUUAUGCACGCUCUAUUAUUAAAUGAAAUUCAUGCAGAUCUCACUAAAUUAAGUGUGUCCUCCAUACUGUGGGAUGUAUGUGUGGAUUCUAUUCAUCAACAAUUUUUUAUUUUGAGAUUUCCUUCUUCUUUGUACCUUUAUUUCAUCGUGUUCUAGGUAAUUUCCAACUUGGAGUUCAUGGAAAUUGGCUUAAAGGAAGCAUUGUGGUUAAAGAGCAACAAAUGGAAGUACCGAAUGGACUGUAUGAAAGAGCUUAGCUUGCGCUUAUUGGAGAGUAUUGAACUUCUCUACUGGUUUCUGGACAGAAUGCCUAAUCUAGAAAGGCUAAACUUGCUUUUCCCUUAUACGUUGGAAGAGUUAGUACCAAGUGAAAACAUAGCACCACAAGAAAGAUUGGGAACUGUAUUACAGCUCAAGACAUUGUAUUUGCGGUCAUCAGUGAUAAAGGAUCUAGGAUUUGACCGAGACCCACUUCUACAAAGACUAGAGCAUUUGCUCUUACUUGACUGCCACAGUUUGGUCACUUUAGCACCUUCCUCUCUAUCUUUGACUCACUUAACAUAUUUGGAAGUAAACUCUUGUCGUGGAUUAAUGAAUUUAAUGGCAAUCUCAACAGCUAAAAGCAUGGCUCAACUUGCAAAAAUGAAGGUAAUCGAAUGUAGCGUACAGGAAUUGGUAACCAAUGAGGGAAAUGAAGAAGACAGAGUGAUUGAAGUUGUAUUUAGCAAAUUGGUAUUUUUAGAGCUGGUAAGAUUAGAAAACCUUACAAGUUUCUGCAGCUACAAGAACUGUGAAUUUAAAUUUCCAUCAUUGGAAAUAUUGAUUGUGAGAGAUUGCCUCAAAAUGGAAACAUUCACUGUGGGUCAGACAACAGCACCAAAGCUACAAAAUAUACACACCAUUGGAGGAGAAGAGGAAGAGAAACAAUAUUGGGAAGGUGACUUGAAUUCCACUAUACAGAAAGUUUUCAAAGACAAGGUGCUUAUUCAUUAAAUACUAGAUCCUCUCAUCUUAAUUUUUUACAUUUUAAUCAAAAUAAUAUCGACUCCAUUUAUAUAUUUUAGAAUCUUAGUCUAAACAUUAUAGUCAUAUUUUUUAUGAGUCAGGAUCCGUUGACACCAGGUGUAAGUCAAAAGACUUAAGACUUACACCAAAUCUCAACCAUUUAAUUAGAUGGAUCUUAUGGUUAAAAACAUUUCACAAAUAAGCAACAUCGGAUCUAUUUUUAUGAAUUCCACAUGAUUGUUACCAUUCUUUCCUGAAAGUGUUUGCUGCUAAAACGCAAACAACAACACACGCUAUGGUCCUCCCUCUUUCUCAUAUGAAGCAGAAGCACAUCACUUUGGGUGAAGGAUGAGACAUUGCAAAUAAACUAAUCUAACUACAUACAAUAUUCCAUAUUCCAUAUUCACAAACAUAUUGAUAACUAUAUCUCAUGAAUCUCUUAUUUUGUUUCUCCGAUUGCCUGUGUUUAUCGAUCAAUUGAGUUGUGUCGGAUAGAAUUGGGGCUUAUGAAAUAAUAACAUUAUCGGUGACUUGAUUUGUUAAAUUCCAAGUUCAAGUUUCCAGAGAUCCAUCCAAAAUCCUCCUUGAUUCACUACCUUCUUCCAAUGGAAAAAUCUAAUUUAAACAAUUGAUGUAAUCAAGGAGAGGGUAGAAUCAAAGAAUUAGGGUGAAUUUAGAAGUAAGUUGUGCAGUAUCAGAUUGAACAAGGAAAGAAGAUGAAAUCAUGUGUCUCUCUCUUUGUUUGAUUUCUUGUGUGGAGUAUUAUUCACCUGACUCAUUUUUUUAUUUAUAAUAAAUAAUUUAGCUUGCUGAAUGUUUGAGUCUUAACUCACAACACCUUCAUUUUCUUUGUAAUUCUUUAAUAAUUUUUACUUUAUUUCUUUGAUAUUACAGAUUUUUUUCAGAUAUACAGAGAAACUGAACCUUUAUGAUCAUCCUGAAUUAUUAGAACAAGUAUGGCAUUGCAGUGAUUUGGUGCAUGAGUACAUGUUUCACAACUUGACAUCUUUGGUGGUAUCACAAUGUAACAAUCUAGUGCACGUAAUUCCAUCUCAUUUACUUCCUUGCUUUGAUAAUUUGGAGGAGUUACACGUAACGAGGUGCAGUGCUGUGAAAGUCAUAUUUAAUAUAAAUGAUGCAAGGGCCACAAAAGCAAUGGGAACAUUUCGCUUGAAAAAAUUGUUUUUUUCUGAUCUACCAAUCCUGGAGCAUGUAUGGGACAAAGACCCUGAAGGAAAUUUUUGCCUUCAAGUGCUACAAGAAAUGAAUGUUUUUGAAUGUGAUACCCUUAAAUAUUUGUUUCCUGCAUCGGUGGCUAAAGAUCUUACUAGACUUGAGCUGCUUAGAGUAACACGCUGUAAAGAGUUGGUAGAAAUAUUUUCAGAGGAUGAAAUACCUGCAGAAGGAGCAACAAAAGAGUUAAUGUUUCCUUCUCUGACCUCAUUGUACAUAAUAAAAUUGCCAGCGCUCAAAUACUUUUAUCGUGGUUUACAUAAGCUAGAAUGGCCCAUGCUAAAAGAAUUGCAUGCAUAUCGGUGUAACUUAGUGAUACUCGAAUGUCAAGAAGAUCAUCCAGAGGAGCAAGCCCUUGUUCCAGUUGAAAAGGUAUGUUGAAAGUAUUCUACGACUUCACAACUUGUUUAUUCCAAUGAGAUAGGUGCUCCUUUAUAGGAGAGAGUACGUAAUGACACUCCAUACAUAAAUUAAGGAGUGAUUUAAGGAAUUGAAAUAAAAUAAACGUAAAAUCAAAUACUAGUAUUAAGAUUAAUAAUAAUAGUAAUAAUAAUAAUAAAAUAUUUCAGUACUUCUCACAACUUGGUCUGAGGCAGUUAAAACCAGUUUCACUUCCCUAGAAAAUAUAAAAGUAUACCUAACCCAGCGACAUCACAUUGACGAACCUAUAACCGGAUAAUGUAUCUAUCUAUCACUGAAAUCUAUUCCUAUUUUUCUUUUUUUAUUUAAUGGAUGAUAUUUAAACAAUUAAUCUAAUUCCUAAAGCUCAUAAGUCAUCAAUAUCCAUUUAUUCUAUGCUUUGACUCAUACUUUGUUGUCUAGUGAUGGACUAAUAGUAAAUAUAGUUUUAUAACAAUUAUGGGAUUUCAAAUAUUUAAUUAUAUGUUUUAGAAGACUUCUUAAAGGCUUCUUGAAUAUGUUUAUGUUUAUAAAAGGAAGGGUAGAAAAGGGAAAGAAAAAAGAGGGAGGACAUAUGGCAGGAAAUGAGGAGAAAAAUGAUGAACUAAGAUGAAAUGUAACUAAUUGUACAGGUAGCAGCUUGGGAGUGGUGGGGAUUGAGAGAAUCAGUAAGAAGAAUGUGAAUAUAAUGGAAUUGAGUCAAUGAGGAAAGGGGGUUAGUUUUGGAGUGAAAAUUGGGACUGGGGAGUGAGAGCCAUUCUCCACUCAGCCAGCAUUUCAGUAGCCUUUACAUUUUUAUUGUUGCAAGGAGAAUUCUCUCCAUCCAUUGUAUUCCCUCUUAUGCAAAUAAUAUAUUCCUAGAAGGAUCUGCUUCUGUAUCUUCUAAAAUCCUUGGUAUUCACUCUUUCAUAUUCAAUUAUCCCUUCAGUUUGAUCCUAUUAACUUAAAAUCUUUAUUUUAAUAGAAGAGUUAGUUCUAUGUAAGUUGUGUUUGUCUAUACUGUACAUCUAAUAUAUAUAAUUUCCUUUAUUUGUUUUUCCUCAUGGGCUAUCCAGAUUCCUAGUAUGAAGCAUUUAUCAUUUGGUAUUGGAGACACCGAGGUUACAUGGAAUCCGAAGUCUUGUAAAUUACAAUUUGAAAAACUGGAAUGCUUUCAACAAGAGUCAGAUAGUGUUCUAUAUCGGUUCCUUGGCAUGUUACCCAUUAUAAGAAAGUUGGAAUUCAGAUAUGGUUUACUUGAAGAGUUGUUCUCUGCUGAAAGACCUAAUGCUGAUUACACAAGAUUCCUCUUGCACCUCAAAGAAAUAGAGUUAAAUAAGAUUUUUAAUCUCAACUCCAUUGGUUUAGAGCACUCUUGGCUACACCCCAUUCUUGAAAAUCUCCAAACAUUAGAAGUAAGACGCUGCUAUCGUUUAAUAAACUUGGUACCAGACAUGGUAUCUUUCUCCAGCCUCACAUAUUUGGAUGUAAGUAUAUGUAGUGGAAUGCUAUAUCUGUUUACAUCGUCAACAGCCAAAAGUCUGUGCCGACUCAAAGUAAUGAAGAUAGAAUCGUGUGAAUCAAUGCAAGAGAUAUUGUCCACAGAGGGGGAUGAAUCAGGUGAAGAUAAAAAGUUAAUAUUUGAGGACCUCCAGACUUUGUUUCUAAAAGAUUUAUCAAAGCUAAGGUGCUUUUACCCUGGGAAGUUUUCCUUGUGCUUUCCAUCCUUGGAGAAAGUGUCCUUGAUUCAAUGCAUCUGGAUGAAAACUUUCAGUCCAGUCAACAUGAUAGAUCCGACCAAAUUGUCUUCUGGAGUUACAUUCAUCAAAGAUAAAACCCCACAAUGGGAAGGUGAUCUGAAUGCUACAAUACGCAAGAGGUUUGAGGAAGAGGUAUCUACAAAAUCAAUAACAUAUAUACUCUUACAGUUGUUGAUCAAAAUACAUUAUUACAAGUAUUCAUGUAUAAUACAAUAUUAUUAGAAUUUAGAUUUGCUUAUAUUAUUAAGAUAAGCAUAAGAUUGUCAAUUUGAAUUAUUUCAAAUUUCGUCAAUCAAAUUAAAAUUGAGUAUAUAAAUAAAUAAAUAUGUGUGUGCAACUAAUUACAAUUGUAAACACAAUCAAUUUGAAUUUUAAAAAAUUUCAAACCAAAAAUUUAUCUAUAGGUCAUACUGAUGAUUUAUUUUAUAAAUUCUGGUUAAAGUGUGUUGGACACAAUAUUAAGGAAUUGAAAUAGAAUUUACUAUUUUUAUGAAUUCGUUAAUACAAAAGUAAAUAUUUUUUUUUUAUAAUAUUAGAUGUUAGUGUCCAGGAAACCGCCUCUUGUGUAAAAAAACAGGGUAAGGCUGCGCACAAUACACCAAUUGGUGGGACCACUUCCUGGACCUUGCGUAUGCGGGAGCUUUAGUGCACCGGGUUGCCCUUUUUAUAAUAAGUAUGUUAACAUGCUUAUUUGAUCUCAGGAUACUUAGCUCUACAAGUCUGUUUUCUUUGCUUAGUGUAUACAUUGUUGAUGAUUUACAAGGUGCUAGUCUACCUUGCUUGAUUGCUUCGGGUAUGUUUGAGAGUUGGGUUUUGAAGGGGAAGUUUUUGGAGGUAUAAGUCUAUUUUGGUAUAUAUUUCAUAUUACAAGGCCAUCAUUAAACUGCAUGUAGUAAGCUGUUAUGGUCUAUACAAGAACUCAAAUCCCCUAAACCUGGUUUAAUUACAAUCUUAGAAAAAGUCAGAUUUAAAAAUAUAACUUUUUGAACAAAUUUCUAUGUUUGGAAAAUGAAAUGAAAUUACAAUUCCACAUCUCAAUUUGAAAUGAAAUGAAAUUACAAUUCCGCAUCUCAAUUCUUAUUGACCUUGGUAAAUAGCAAGUAAUUUUUUCUACUCUAUUGCAUGUGCAGAUUUCUGGUUAUGCACCAAAAGGAACUGUUGUGAGUCUCUUUGAUGAACCAGUACUACAGGAUGUAUGGCAUGGCUUGCCAGUCCCACAAUCUUGCUUUGGAAAUUUGGAGGAAUUAAUUGUGGACGGGUGCCAAUUUUUAUCCGAAGUACUACCAUCCAAUUUACUUCCUUUCUUAACAAAAAUGGAAAAAUUGGCAGUUCGAAAUUGUAGUUCUGUGAAAACCAUAUUUGAUGUGAGACGUAUAACAGAAGACAGAAAAAUGAAAACCAAGGGACCAGCCCUGAUGCCCUUCCCUUUUUCCCUGAAGGUAUUGACUUUAGAGCAGUUGCCAAAUUUGGAGAAUGUUUGGAAUGAAGAUCCUCAUGGAAUUCUAACAAUUGAACUUCUAAAACAAGUAUAUGUUGAUGACUGUAAAGGCCUUAUAAGUUUGUUCCCAGCCUCAGUAGCCAAAGAUCUUGUGAAACUUGAAGAUCUACACGUGAAACACUGUGAAGAGCUGAUGGUUAUUGUUGCAGAGAAUAAUGCAUAUCCCAAAGGAACAAUUUUGGAGAGUUUUGCAUCUCAUGAAGUUGAUGCAUCGGAUGAGGUUGAAAAGAUAAUAUUUGAGGAGCUCCAGGCUUUGUAUCUUAAAGAUUUACAUGAACUCAAGUGCUUUUAUUCAGGGAAUUUUACUCUGUGUUUUCCAUCCUUGGAGCACGUGUUUGUAAUCAACUGUCACAAAAUGGAAACUUUCUGUCCAGGUACCAUCAAUGCACACAAGUUGUUGGAAGUUAAAUUUCAGGAUAUCUCAGAUGCUGUCCCAUUGGAAAUUGACCUCAAUUCUACCAUACAGAAGGAGUUUCUGGCACAAGUAUGUUUUAACUUUUCUUUUUCGUUUUCCGAAGAUAGAAAUUUUAGUGUUUGAACACCUUCGUUUACCAUUUUAGUAAUUAUGUCAAUUUGUUGGAUGGGAAGUACAUUGUAUUUGUGAGCAACCAUCACAUAUAUACUGCUAACUUUUUCACAAUGGAAGUUCAAUUAAUUAUGAGUUUGCCUUGUCAAUAACUCCCAAUUGAAAGCAAACCAGCAAGGGGAGAUAUUAAUUUUCACUUGAAAAAUAAAAUAUUACCAUUUAUAUAGUUAAUGAACCUUUUUUUUCCUUCAUUAUUAUCAAACUAACAUCACUGUUUUUGUAUCUAGGCUGACCCAAAUAACUCGGUUAGACCAUAAGAAGAUGCAUGACAUUGAUGAAUGAUGAUGAAGACUGUUGAGUGGUAAGAGUAUUAAUUUAUUUUGGAGAGUGAUAUAGGACAUUACUUUAUUUUGGGGUGGGGGUGUUUCUUUUUUUGGUUACAUAAUAGUCCUUUUUUUUUUUUAUAACAGAGGGAGGGUUGUGUGUGUGUGUGUUUAAUCAUUUACCAAAGAAAAUGAUUUGUACAGGUUGUUUACUGAAAUAUGAUUCAACACAUUUGUUAAUUUGUUAGUUUAUUAAACUCUUGAUUUAUACAUUAGCAUAUUGAUAAGUUAUUAUAAGUUGUAAAACUUACAUUCUUUUUAUAAUUUGACUAGGUGAGGUCCAACUUCAAUACUGCAGCAAAAUGACUGGAAAAUGAGGUUGAUGGUAAAGACAGUUGAUGAAGAGGAAUGAAGUUGUCCAUUGGUCAUACUUUUUACGUUAUUAUAUUUGGAUUUAUUCCAGUGUUACUAUGUUGUGCGUUUAAGAAAUUAAGUACGGUUGUGUGGUUUAAGUUACAAUAAGUUGAUUGUUCUAUAUAUUAAUGUAACAAUGUGUGUGAUUGUAUGCCAUGAAGAAUAAAUAUGGCCUUGUAUUGUUUGAUAUAUAUGUACUAUUAAUCAUAAAAGAAAAUACUGUGUUCUUGUAUGUUAUCUUUUGAAUAACAAACUCAAGAACAUUUUUCAGUAUGCUGUAUUGUUCUAUUUGUUUACUCUUAAUUUUGUCCAUUUAUUUCAAGUUUCAGUUUAACUAUGGAUGUCUUUUAAGGAUGCAUUAAUGUUAAAGAAUCAGUUUAACUAUAUUGCAAUGACUGUUGGACCAUUUGGUCGGGAAACUGAAAUCGGCUGAAUUGUUUGAUAAGUAGAGAUAAAUAAUGUGAGGAAAAGAAUGUGAUCAGUAGCUUCUGAAUGUAAAAUUUCUAAGAAUGUGAUGGAGAUUGUAUGAGCUGACAAGUUUUGAGGAGUGGGCAGCAGCAGUGGGGGAAGCAGAGGGUAACAGUAUAAGAAAACUUUGAAUCUGUUUUUUUGCUUAAACUCAAAACCAAAACCAUGUUGUUAUCAUCAGAAUCAACUUCUUGUGCAAUAGAAUCAGUGCAUACACUACGAGAAGCAUCCUUGUAUCUAUACCUUGGAGGAAAACCAUGCUUGAAGUAGCAUGUAUCAAGAGCAUGAUUAGUGUCAUUACAAGACAAGUUAGUAGUAUUAAUUAUGGAAAUGUUUAGGAAAAAUAUAAUAAAUGCAUCUAGUAAUUUGAAGAUGGAUUUACAUUUAGGGAUAAAAAUAAAGUUAAAUAAGUGCUUACAGGACUGAGGGAGUAUUUUUACUAACUUUUAUCGUUUUUUGAUAAGCUAAUUAUUCAAGUAACUUAUAACUUAUAUAUUUUAUCUCAAUAUUACCCUUGUAGCAUUAAUUGAAAAAGAUUAAUUAUUAAUUAAAUAUAUAUUUAUAUGUCAUUUCAUAUUUAUAAGCUAGUUCAGUUGUUGAUUUUAUCAAACAUUACAAAUUCAAUCACUAGCUUAUCCGCUAUCGGCUAUGAAGCCCUGAUACCUGACAUGAUACCGAUACGAUACGAUAUCGAUACGGCGAUACGGGAAAAUUUUCAAAAUUUCCAAUACGAUACGGCCUCGAUACGUUAUUAAAAAAUUAAAUUUAAAAUUAAUAGUAUAAGUGCACAAUGUAUAAACAUAACUAAAAAUGAUGAUAAACAAACAUUCACAUUAAUGAAAAUGAUCAAAACAAGUGACAAUUACAUGUUUUUUCCGCACAAAUUAGAUAGAAUAUAGCUAAACAUCAUUAGUACCAUCCAAAGAGAACAUCAUAAGUACUAUAAGAAAAAGAACAUCUUUGUCUAAUGUUGACUACUUAAUAGUUAACACUAAUUUAUAUCGAAAACAAACAGCAGAAGAAACAUAGUAGAAUUCAAUCAGUGGUAAUGGUUAGAAGAGAGAAUAGCUAUUGCUAUGUGGUGACGAGAAACCCUAUAUUUUUAGGUUAGAAGAGAGAAUAUGAUUUUGAGAGCGCUGCCAGACCUGAUAGGUGUCGGAGUAUAAGUAAGCUGUGUCGGAGUACAAGUUAGUCGUAUCCGACACGUAUCGGUCAUUUUUUUCCUUCAAAAAAUAAAUAUUAAUUGUCCGAUACUUCUCCGAUACGCGUAUCGGCACGUAUCCGACACGUAUCGGUCAUUGUUUUUCAAAAAAAUAAAUAUUAAUUGCCCAAUACUUUUCCGAUACCCGUAUCGGAAUGUAUCGGUAUCGGAUAUGUGUCGGUUACGAUACUUCACCAUUUUUGGAGUAUCGGGGCUUCAGAGGCUAUCGGCUAUAAGCUCCUAAUCUAGCUUAUAAGCUAUCUUAUCAACUAUCCACUAUUUUUUAACAAACAGAGCCUUUAAUCAUACGAGCUUAUAAGCUAUAAGCUCAAUUUUAUGUCUUAACAAACAGAUCCUUGUUUUUUUCUUCAUAAUUUUUAUUCUUUUGGUAAAUUGAAAAGCUAACCAGGAGUCUUCUUCCAUGGUGAAUAUGGGUGCAUAUAUUUAAUCUACUUAUACUAUUAUUUUUUUAUGUAAUAUUUAAUCUUUUGCUUGGAGUUGUAGUUCACCUAUGACUCUGUCCAAGAAGAAGGCCAAUCGCCGUGAUCGCGUUGAUUGAAUUAGUGACUUACCAUGUAAUGUCAUUGAUGGCAUCCUAAAACACUUGAGCAUCCAAGAGCUAGUUAAUUAGUACCAGUAUUCUGUCAAGAAAAUGGAGCUAUAUGUGGACUUCAGUUUGAUACGAACACCUUUUAUUCGACAAGGACUUUUUUAGAAGGUUUGAGGAUCAUGAUGGCCCUGGCCCUUAGAUUUCUAGAAUUAUCACUGAAGUUCUUUUCCUUCACAAUGGGCCGAUAUAUGGUUUUGCUCUUGACAUCCCUAUCCCUAUGUUCUCCAAUUUCUUGAUCACAAAUGAAUACCUCAAUAAGUGGAUUCUGUUUUUGUCAAGGAGGGGCAUUAAAAAUAUUGUGCUUCUCAAUUGCGGAACAUUUAACAGAUUGCCUCAUAUGAAAAUGCCAUUUUUUGUCUUCUCUUGUCAAGAAUUGACUCACUUUCGGCUUUCUGGAUUUAACUUAUCAGUUCCGCCCAACUUCGAUGGCUUAAAAAGUUUGCGGGUGCUUCACUUAGGAUGUAAUAGAUAUGAGCUCGGUUCACUUGAGAGUCUUAUUGCUGGCUGCCCAUUACUUGAAGAGCUCAACAUAAUAUUUCCUCCAGAUGCGAAAUCAAUUUGUCUCAAGAAUGCAAAGAAUCUGAUUGAUCUUAGUCUCACGGUUAAUCAAGAUAGAGUAUCUGGUUUGAUCAAAAGUUUGCCGAAAAUUCAGAGGCUAGAUAUAGAAUCAUAUGGCAACAAGGUUAGGAAGCAACAUCACUUCUAUCUAGUAUGCCCUCGCAGUUUGAUCUUUUAAACUUAUCUUUUAUUGUAUGUUUGAAAGAGAAGCAACGUUGUUUAUUUUUUUUUACGGUUCAAUCCAAUGUUUCCAGUAUUUACAUUGAAAGUUGUACUUAUAAGUGUUGUACAAAUAUACCUCAUAGCUCUAUGCAGAUAUCAUUCAUCCAUCACAGUUGAUAAGCUUAAAGUAUCUGGAAUUAUUUACCUUGAAUAUGAAUGACAGAGGAGAAGUUUUGUAUAUUGUUAGUGUACUCAAAAGUGCUUCUAACCUGGUGGAACUUACUAUACAGGUGACCAUAAAUACCUUAUUCUUUCCUGGCUUGUCUUUUAUUUAUUUUUCUACCAAUCUUAGCUUGUCUUUUCUUUUCAUACUUUUGACUCUUAUUUUUUUAUAAUUUAGAGUAAUAACUAUGAUGGUGUUGAAGAGCCGAACCAAUCGGAGGAGUUAGAAUGCAAUAGUUGUUGUCUUAGUCAACUUCAGACGGUGCGUAUCAGAGUUGGAGGCAGGUUUAAAAAUGCAAUGAGUUUGAUACGGUUCAUACUUGCAAAUUCCUCGUCAUUAAAGACUCUUACUUUUAAAGUUGGUUUUGGCAUAAGAAUUUUGAUGCAGCAAUUCUGUUAAACAUUUCACAAGACUUGUUAAGGAUGGAAAGAGCAUCACAAAGAGCACAAGUUGAAUUCCUUCACCCGAAGAUAGACGUUCAAUUGUAAAAUGUAUUUGAUUUUAGCUUUCAAUAUGACAAUUUUCAACCAUUAUAAAUACAUGUUCUAACUUCUAAGCAUGUUUUGGGAAAGGUCAUUUGCAUCACAUGAUUAAAGUCCUAAGGUUUAGAAGAGUACUUGUGCAAUUAAGAUUUUUAGGCUAGGUUACAUAUGAAUAUGAUCUCUCUUGUUCCUGAGACAAUUUGAAUAUUUUUUAGAUUGAUACUUUGUUUUAAUAUCUUUCAUGUUGUUAAUUCAAUGUUUAAUGUUUUUCAUGGAAUACUCUUGUAAUCUAGUGAUUUAGAGUUGGAAUGACUAGAUUGGUUCUUGAAGCUGAUAUUUCUUUCUAGCUCACGUUCUAAUCAAAUUAAAGUAAACAAUUAAAAAUAUAAUCAACAAUAAUUGUGAUUUGUGAGCUGAACUUAAAGCAGACAUGGGGGAUUCCUCCACCUCCUAGAAAAUGUGUGCCGCCAGGCAGUUGCAGUAGAGGCAAGGCCUCCAAAACAACAAUAGUUGGAUCUCCACCUCAUAGCCGAUACAAUCAAAAAGUAUUUUUGGAUACAUCUGAAACUCAUAUCCUGAAUGGGUUGAAAAAUUGGUGAGCAUAUCGGUAGAUUCACUAUGCAGAAGGAGAACAGAUAUGUUUCAGAAUAUAUCAGAUGAUGUCCCAUUGGAAAUUGAUCUCAACUCUACUAUAAAGAAGGAGAACAUAAAUAACUUUUUUUGAACAUAAAUGACUUCUUAACUUUUCUUUGUAACAAAGAAACAAAUUUAUCAAAAUUAUAGUACAUAACUCAUAAUUAUAAUUAUACUAUGUUGAUUCUUGUAACAACCAACUUAGGCACAGCAUGAUGAGUGAAUACAAAGUAUCAAAACACAUAUUCACUUCUUCAAAAAAACAAAACACACUUUAACGUGGCUGCAUUAGGAUGGCAUGCUUGUAAUUUUCAAAUUAACCCAAGCCAUUUUUGGUAAUUUUCUGUGUACAAAAAAACAAUAAAAAAAAUUAAUGGGGAGGCCAUGGCCUACCCCAGUCCUCACGUGACUCCGCCACUGCGUCAAAUCAUAUAAAUAUAUGUAUAGGUUUUUGUAGAAAAUUAUAUUAUAACAUUACAAUGUGUUCAUGUUUGGAAGACCCUUAACUUGUCUAGCAAGAAAUGACUUGAAAUUGGGCUUGAAUUAGAAGUCUUGCUUGCCUUUUUUUUUUUUUUUUUUUUCCCUCUCUUUAUUUGGACUAGCGAAAAGACCGGCACUCAUGUGCCCGUCUUUCCGCUCUUUUUACUGUGAUAAAAUUUGAAAAUUAUGAACUAUGUUUUUUUUUUUUUUAUGAAAUUUUGAUUUUGAUUAAAACUAAAAAUAUAAAUGUUUGUUGCUUUUUAGUUAUAACAAACCAAAUUAAACAUGAUUAUCUAUUUUAAUAACACCAAUAACAAUCUUUAUUAUAGAAAAAGUUGUUUAAGGGUAUAAUUGGGAUAAUAAAAAAUUAAGUGUAAAUAUACUCAUUUAGUUUUUUACACUUUUUAAAUGAUAAAGAAAGAAAAAACAGACAUAUAUAUAUAUAUAUAUAUAUAUAUAUAUAUAUAUAUAUAUAUAUCGUGUUUGUUACAUUUUUUUUCAUAUUUAAAUUUAUUCUUAUAUAUUUGUUACAUGUGUUAUUUGUUUGAAAAUUAAGGGACAACACAUUUACAAAGUGAAGCGAUGAGAAUACUAGGAACAGCACAUUUGGUCAUUAUGCUCGUGUUCUAGUAGAUAUUAAUUUUGCUGGAUUUAUUCCGGAUAAUUUGUGUGUUGAAAGAGAUAAUUUUGCCUUUGACAUUGAGAUUGAGUAUGAACAUCAUCCAUACUUUUGUUUCACUUGUAAUUCUAUUGGUCAUUCAUCGGAUCAUUGUAAAAAAGAUCCUGCCAGUAGAGUUGCUCGUGAAAAGGUCACCGCUAAAGAUAAUCUUGUUAAGAAUGUUCCUAAAAGGCAUGUUCAAGUGCAAGACCGUUGGAAAAUCGUGGCGGACGAAGAUCCUAUUAUUCUCGACAUAAUGAAAUCUACGGAAGUAACAACUGAUGUGUUUGUGGUUGAUGUUAUAAACCCUGAGGAAGAACUAUAUUAUAGCCCUUCCGCUGAGGCAGUUGAGGUUCUAUCAGCACAUGUUGAAGAAGCACAUGUUGAAGUGAUGAAUGAAAAACAAAGUGAAGACAAACAUAGCAACGAAUUCCUCAUAUGCGCAUUGUUGGUCCUUGGAGUGACGCAGUCACAGACUUGGAUUAUAUUCAGGAUCCCCCGUCUUGGUAUGGUUUGAGUUCUUCCAAUGUCAUGGUUACUAAAGAUGUUUUAAAUCCUAACAUCGCCCAUGACUUGGAAAUUUUGCGGCCUUAUCUGAAAGACAAUGAUGUUUGUGCAAGUGAGCCUCGGGUUUAUACUGAUGAGGAAGAAAGAGAGGCAACUAUCAACUACUUGAAGAACCGCUCUCUUGCUAGAGAAGAGCCAUUUAUUGAGGUGUCUAAGAGUAAGAAGAAGAAGGUGCAGAAAGGUUUUCAGGUUCAUAACACUCGUUCUAAGGGAAGACCUCCGACUUGACUUAAGUUCUAUCAGUGAUUUCGUUCUUUCCUUCCUAUCUUUUGGUUUGUUGGUUGCUUUUUAUUUCUUUUUUGCUUUGUUUUUCUUGUUUUUGCUUUUUCCUUGUUUGAGAAGGUUUUGGUCUAUGCCCCCCUUCUCCUUUUGCUUUUGUUUCUUUUUAUCUAUAUAUUUAUAGGGUGUUGCAGUUGGUUCACUAUCUGCACCUCUUUUUGCCUAAAAAAAAAAAGAUUGAAAAUUGAGGGCAUUUUUGUAAAGAAAAAUCCAACUCAAAAAUGUUGUAAGAGGUAGUUUUCUUUAUAUAUAGUAUAACUUACUAUGUUAUAGGUACGGAUCUCAGUUGGAAAACCUAUGGGACAUGUAAGAAACAUAUUGGUAACUUCGUAUUGUAAGUGGUUGAAAAUAGGAGUAUUUUCUCUAAGCUUGACGUGCUUGCAUGGAAGCGGUAAGUUAGUCAAGUCUGAAUGUGGGAAGAGUAACAAUUUGAGCACCAUCUCCAUAAAGGUAUGUUCCAAUUCUAAAAUUCAUGAAAAUUCUAUCUUUUUGCUAUUUUGUAGCUUGAGGACAAACAAAGGUUUAAUUUUGGGGUUGUGAUGAUGGAACAUCAUAUGAUAUUUUUUGGUAUGAUUUUAGUUAUUUUCUUUGAAUUCGAAGGCAAAUAAGAGGUCAUUUAGAGUAGUUGUCAAUGGUUUGAGGAAUAUUUUGUAUUGUUUUCAUUUGAGUCGUUGUAAUUCAGUUUUAUCUCAAAUCAUGCAACUCCAAAGGUGCUUUGAAUCUUUUUAGUGAGAAAUCAUGUAAGUCGGCAAAACAAGAUACCACGUGAAGGAUCGAGUAUUUUUUAUUUUUAUUAAAAGUAUAAAUGUAGAUGUUGGCGGGUUUCAAAUUACAACAAACCCAACAAAUCAUAUUUAUCUAUUUCAAUGAUACCAACAAUAUAAUAAAUAUAAUAUAAUUUUUUUAAUAACUACAACAAUAAACAUGAUUAUAGGAAAAAUUUGUUUAAGGUUACAAUUGAGAUAAUGAAAAAGGCACGCCAAAAUUUCAUAUUGAUAUUCUCCCUAAAAAAUAAAAAAUAUAGUAUGGAUAUUUGAUGUCAAUUUUUUUUUUGUUAAAACAUCAUUUCACAUACAAUAUUUUUAUAAUUUUUAUUACUUAGUGAAAAUAAAAAAGAAUAUGGGUUUGGACUAGGGUUCUCUGCAGUAAAAAAAUAUUUUGCAUUCACGCAUUCAGUUCAUACUUUGUCAUUAGAUCAAGAUCGAACGGUUUAUAAUCCAAGUUCAAUAUUUUUUAUUUUAAAAAUAAUUAAAAUUGUAUUAAAAUCUGAUUUGUUCAAUCAUGAUCCAACGACGGCAGAGGUGUCGCAUGAAUGCGGCAAACUUUUGUCACAAAUAAUCUGAUUUCAUGAACAGCAUAUGCUCCUGUAGGGUUCACCGUGUUACAUAUUCUAGAUAUUAUCAUCAUAAUAGAACCGAGAAAAGCAAUGGGGGAUAAGUGUUAGAAAAGCUAUCCGUAACUGAAUAAUAAUUGAAAACGAAAAUAAAAGACCAUAGAUACCAUCUCUGUGAACGUAGUUUGUUCAAUGAUGUCUGCCUCUACGACUAUAGAACAAUUAUAAUUCUUUUUGUAUUAUUGUAAUGAAUUAAAGUUUCAAUGUUACAAAUAAGAGAAAUUUUACUAACCCAUUUUUCAACACUCUCUAUCACUUAUUUUUUUAUUGGAUGAACUCAAUGUAUGUUUCACCAUUUUGUGUGGAUUCAAUUUUCAAAAUAUGAUUUAAAUCGAUAAAAAAGUGAAUAUUUAAGAGAUUGUUGCUAGCAUUAUUCUACAAACAAUAGAAGACAAUAUAUAUAACACUAUUAGGGCACAUAAUGUACUAACAAUAUAAAUUUUAUACGAAUACUUGUGUCAUUUUAAAAAAUGAAUACUACAUAUUUAAAUUAAUUCUUCUCAAUAAUUAUUUGCUAUUUAUGGAAUACUUAACAUGUAACUUUAAAGGGAAUUGCUACAUAUAGGGAAAAGUAACAUCACGAAGCAUUCAGGGGUGUGUUUUUAAGUUGAUAUUUGCAGGAAAUUACAUCCAUGUCAUGAUUUUUUUUUAGUGCCAUACUUUUUGUCAAAAAACACAAAACUGUCAUACUUUUUCGAAAAAUUACAUAAAUAUCCUACUUUUUCUGAAACCUCUAUCACCACACAACCUCAAGUUGUGGGGUAUCCUCAAAAGUGACGUAUUUUUUGUCUUUAUUAUACCCCACAACUCCAAGUUGCGGGGUACUUUCUUUAUUUUUUUUUGAAUUUUUUAAAUAGGAAGCAAGAUGGACUAGCGAGGUAUUUUGUGCUUUUUUUUUUUAAAUAAAUUAAAUACCCCACAACUUAGUUGUGUGGUACCUUGUGAUGUCGAAUCAACGCAGACCACUUGGAAAAUAGGGUUUUGAAGCAAAUUUUUGAAUUUUAUAAUUAAUUAAAACAUAUUAUUUAUCUAUAAAUACUUCAUUUCAUCUUUCAAUUUAUCACACCAUUUCAUCUUCUAUUCUUACAUCCAUCUUCUUUUAACCUUAUUUUUUUUCAUCUUAAAAGAAGAUGGAUGUAAGAAUAGAAGAUGAAAUGGUGUGAUAAAUUGAAAGAUGAAAGGAAGUAUUUAUAGUAGAUAAAAUAAUAUAUUUUAAUUAAUAAUAAAAUUCAAAAAUUUACUUUAAAACCCUAUUUUCUAAGUGGUCUACGUUGAUUCGACAUCACAAGGUACCACACAACUCCAAGUUGUGGGGUAUUUAAUUUUUUUUAAAAAAAAAAAAGAAAAGCACAAAAUACCUCGCUAGUCCAUCAUGCUUCCUAUUUAAAAAAUUCAAAAAAUAAAAUAAAAUAAAGAAAGUACCCUGCAACUUGGAGUUGUGGGGUAUAAUAAAGACAAAAAAUUCGUCACUUUUCAGGGUACCCCGCAACUUGAGGUUGUGUGAUGACAGAGGUUCCAAAAAAAGUAGCGUAUUUAUUCAAUUUUUCGAAAAAGUAGGGCAAUUUUUUAUUUUUUGGCAAAAAGUAGGGCACUAAAAAAAAACCAUGUCAUCCCUUGUUUUCUGGCCAGGAAGCAAUUGUAUUGGUUAAAUGACUGAUCGUAAUCUGCUCGAGACAAAUUUCAUCUAGAAAAAUAGCAUUGCUCAACUUUUAAGGGGUUAAAAUCCUCUCUGUAAAAAAAAUAAAUAAUGAUAUUGUGAUCCAUUCAAUAGCGAGAACCACUACCUGUUUUUCUAUAUCAUUUUCUAAAUGACAUUCUCAAUUUAAUUUUAUAAACGGAGAGGAUCCUUACUAGUUACUCCGCUUAAAAUACAUGUUAGCAAGACCAGGGGCGAUUUUACCCCCCAGCUAGCUUGGGCACGCGCUCGGGCUCAACCCAUACUUUCUUUGUAUCAUUACAAGAAAUUUAACUUUUAGUGAUGGCCAAAAUUCGUUACUAUAGGGCAAAUUUCCGUAGCUACAUCUGUCUGUCAUUGCCAAAUAACUGUCGCUGCAAGUUUUCCACUUUUACCUACGGAAAAAACCAUAGGUAAUUCUAGGAGACCAUUUUAAAAACAUCAUGAUAUCUACCUACGAUUGCGGCUGUCACUAAAAUUUAUCAUUGUUUUAUUUUGCUCAAACUCUAAAAAAUUUCUGAGACUCUGCCACUGAGCAAGACCCUGCAAUAUUACAUUUUAUUAGAAUCAGAUUAUGCUUGACAUGAGAGGUAAAGAAUAUAUAUUUUUUUAAAGUUUAAAGUGACACGCAAGGAUCACUUGUUCCCCCAGUCUAUCGGUAUAUACUUUCCUAUUUAUUUCGUUCUCAUGCAUACAUUCGCUUAUUAUUUUCCUGAUUUUUUAUUUACUCCCUAAAGCUUAGUUUACAAACAUACAUGUAUGUAAAUUUCACCUUUCUUCAUUUAAUUUGAAAUAUUAAUUUGAUCCUCGUUCAAAGAUGAAUAAAUAAAUUAUGAAGACAAAUCACAACUUCUGGUCAUAAAGUGAGGUUUGUUCCUUCAAAACUUAUAUAUCUAUUUAUUUAAUGGGAAAUGCUAACCGGUAUCCCCGGUGGUUAAUGAUAUAAAAAAGAAAAUUAUAUAAUAGUUAAUACAUUGAAAUUGUGUAAUUAAUUUAUAAUAAAAUCAAAAACAGUUUCCUUUUAUGGUAAUAAUUCCCUUUUAUGAUACCCUUAUUUAAUUUAAUGACUAAUAGUUUUUGUUUACUGCUUCUUACGAAAAUAUUUGAAAUCAUAGCAAACAUAAUAUAACUUGUUUUAAUUAUUAACAAAUUAAACCAUUCUCCAAAAAGAAUAACAGAUUAAAGAUUAUUGUAGAGCACACAGAAGAAGCUUGAUUAAUGAAAUUGGAAAAUGGAGUUGGUGCUGGAGAACAUUGAAGAGCUAAUUUCUUGUCAUUCGUUUGUUUGAAGGUAAUAAGAUUAUUUACCCUUACCCGUCUUACAAUCUUUAAGCAUGAAAUGAAGUCCUUUUAUUCGUUUGUUCGUAAUUUCUUGUUAUUCGCUUGUUUUUGUGGAAAAUGAUCAGCCUCACUGAGGGCACCAAAAAGUAUUAGGGGUGAGUAAAAUUGGUCAAAAGGUCCUUUUAAACUCGUUACCUCUAGUUGGUCUGCCCUGCUUACCUCGCUGAAAAAUCGGGGUGGGACGGGCAAUGUCCGCCAACUCAUCAAAUUGUUAUUUUUUAUUUAUUUUUGUUCAAUGAGUUAGAUAAAAUUUAAAGUAAAGAGCCUCAAUAAUCCAUCAUAACCUAAAUUGAUUUUAUAAGUUUGUCUUUAAAACAAAUGUAUUUGCAGUCAAUUUUAUCUAUUUAAUUAACACCAAUAUUUUUUUUCAUUACGACAAAAUUGACAAAAAUAAAAUACAUAAAAAUAUAGUUUUUUGUUUGAGCAAGGCAAACUGAAAUUUGAACUCAACCAUCUAAAUUGACUAAACUCGUCCCUUCUUUUACGGGAUCAAGCGGUGUGAUCUAAACGGGACAGGUCAGCCCACUUCGCCAUCCUUAAAAAAUAUAGACAAAUUUAUUUUUAUUAAGUUAUUUUUGCCGAUUUAGGCUAUUUUUUUAAAAUAGUUUUCUACAGUGUAGUGUCUUUUUACUAUAACUUUUUAACAAAUAUUUAAAAGAAGAUGACUUCAAAUGAAAAUUUCGUUUGAAUAUUUUUUUUUUAUUUUUUUAAGCAAUUUGAAUAAUUCUCUUAAAAUGUCAUUAUAAAUAUUUUAACAUUUUGUUAUAUAUUUUUUGUAUAAUAAAAUUUAAAACAUUUCAAAAAAGAAACUAUUUCAAAUAGCUUCUGAUAAAAAAUAUUUUUAAAAGAUGUUUUUAUAAAAAAUUUGAUUUUUAUUAUGUAAAAUCUCUACCAAUGAAUAUUUAAGUUUUUUUUUUUUGACAAAUCAAUGAAUAUUUAAGUUAAUGAAUGUCAAAAUAACUUUUUUAAUUUAUAACAAAUAAGUUUUUUUUUUUUUGUGGUGGCCAGAGUUCGUACCCUGGACCUUGCAUAUAUUAUGUAUUGUCCUUACCAACCCAACUGAGCUAAGCUCACAAAGACAUAACAAAUGAGUUUUUUGGCCGAGGUUUGAACCCCGGACCUUGCAUACAUUAUGCAUUGUCCAUACCAACUAAACUAAGCUCACGAAGAUAUAACAAAUGAGUUUGAAAUAACUGCUACUAUUUUUGAAUAAAUUUUUAAAAAAUCAUAUUUAGAAAUACAAAGAAAAAAUCGCUUUUUUAAAUGGAUAAAAAACGAACCCAAAAACAAAUUCAUCUAAUUGGUUAGCUUAUAUAUGUAACCCAUGAUUGGAUCGAAAUUCUCUUAAAGUGAGCAAUUUCCUUUGAAGUAUAAAAUAGAUAAUAUCAACCACAUUAAUUAAUAAAUCAAAUGUAAAGAUUAUAUAUAUAAAAUAACAAACAACUAUCUCUCAACAAAAAAUUAAGAAAUAACUAGGUUAUCAAAAUAACACCCAUAAUUUCCUCACUUUACAUUUUAGUCACUUUAAAAAUUCAAAUCCACUAUAAUUUAUGUAUAUGGGUCACCAUAAUCCGAUACAAACUUCUUUUUCAAAAAUUGAUAUCCAAUUCUUUAAGACUAAUUCCUUCCCAGAUUCAAUUGACCACAAAACAUCACAUUUAUUUAGGUAAAAAAUAAGAACAUAUUCAGUAAAAGAAAAAAAGAAUAUAUUAAAGUUUAAUUGACGAAUUGACCCAACCAAAAUUUACUAUAGGUUAAGGUUGGGUAUAACCUACCCAUUUAAGUAUAUAUGUGUCCUCAUCAUGAAUGAUGUGAUAAGCCACUUAAAUGUCAACUUUUUUAUUUGAUUUUAUUUUUAGAAUGAGUUGAAUCCAAAACGUGUUUUCUAUUUUAAUUUCUCUAAACCAAAUGCCCGACUCAUUCGUGCAUUUUCUGGCUCAGGACAAACCUAUAAUUUGGAUCCUAAUUAACUAGUAUAAAAUAUUUGAUUUCUUAAAGUGUGAAAAUAAUUUACUUGAAAAUGAUACUUUUUAUCAAGUUAAGAAAUAAUCUAAUAAAAAUAUUAGACUUUAUAAAAAAAAUAUUAAAUUUUUAUUUAAUAUUCAAAUGCUCAUAAAAAAUAAAGGCUAAAAUAUGGUUUUGAUCCCUGCAAAUAUGCCUCGUUUUGGUUUUAGUCCCUGUAAAAAUAAUUUGUUGUUUUUAGUCCCUGCAAAAUAUUUUGUUUUUGAAAAUAGUCCCUGCAGGGACUAUUUUCAAAAACAAAAUAUUUUGCAGGGACCUUUUUCAAAAUCAAAAGAUUUUGCAGGGACUAUUUCUCUAAUAAAAUGGGUUCAGUCAUCAUGUGCCACGUGUGCAAAUCAUCACAAAAUUGGAGCCAGGGACCAAAACCAAAAUGAGGCAUAUUUGCAGGACCAAAAACAACAAAAAAAUUUUGCAGGGACUAAAACCAAAACGAGGCAUAUUUGCAGAGACCAAAACCAUAUUUUAGCCAAAAAUAAAUCCUAUGAGAAUUUUUAGAUGCAGAGUCAUUAAUAAUUGCGUCCACAUCAAUAUGUUCAAUCAUAUAUUUUCAAUGCAUAGAAUGGCUAGAACAAUUGAAACAUUUGGAUAACAAUAUGCGACUUUGACAAACUCAAAAUUUUAAAAUGUUGACAUCAACACAUUCGCCAAAAAAACAAUAUACAUCGAAGCUGAAAUUGGAUCCGGUUAAUAAAUUCAAAUGUUCAACAAUCAUACCUAAAUUUCAAAUGUUGACAUCAACAUGUACAGUCGCCAAAAAAACUAUUUCAUCCUCAAAAAAUGUUCAACAAUCUUCAACAAAUGUUGAAUUUCAAAUAUUGACAUCAACACAUUCGCCAAAAAAACUAACAUCCGUAUAAUUAAUAAUCUGACUUACAAGCAUAUCUAAGACUCUGUUGGUGCUGCUGUUUGGACCUGUGGAUUCUUCAUACAUCAGAGCCAAAGAUCACUCCAUAUACUAACGAGGUAGCAGUUUCCAAUCUUCCACCGAUGACCUUCAGCUAACAACAUUCGAGAAGACCAUAUGUUAUGCUAGACAUAAUUGGGGUUGCGCCAUAUCGCCACCCUGAUAAAAUCCCAUAUUGGGAAAUAUCUAGCUUUGAAAUAUCUUAUAAUCAUAGCAUCCGGGUUGGUCAUGAACUGCCAACCUUGUUUCCCCAACAUUGCAAGAUUAAAACCAUGGAAAUCUCAUAAACCUAAACCUCUGUACUCCUUUCGCAUAGUAAGUUUCUCCCAUUGUGUCCAUUUAAUGUCUUUGUUUCCAUUUUUCGAACCCCACCAAAAUGAAUUAAUCAUUUUUUCAAUCUCGUUUGCAAGUGUCUUAGGCAUAAGAAAUGCAUUCAUACAAUACAAAGGUAUUGCUUGAGCCACAAAACUUAAUCAAUAAUUCACGACCUGCUUGUGACAACAUUAUGCUACUCCAGCUAGAUAUUCUCUUCCAAACUCUAUCUUUUAUGUAAUUAAAGAUAGACCUCUUGCUUCUACCAAUGAUGGAAGGAAGACCGAGAUACUUACCUGUCCCAAUACUUUCUCAAGCUUCAAAGAUCCGAGUAAUGUUAAAUAUUUAUGCAUUGCCCUGAAGCAUCAGCAUACACAUUCAACAUAUGAUGACGAUGUUGAGCCUCUCCCUCAUUUUCCCGAAAGAAAAUAAAGCUAUCGUCCACAAAUAAGAGAUGAUUAAUUAUGGCAGAUCCUCGACAAAUUUUGACUAUGUGGAUAUUACAUUCAAGCUGAGCUCUAUGUAAUAAAACAGAUAGGCCCUCCGCACAAAAAAAACAAACAAGUAAGGAGAUAAAAUAUUAACUUUCAUUAUUUUUUAUAAAGAAAACGGCAUAAAUACGAAUAAGUCCUUUCAAAACAAGAUGUACCAGAAGUAGACGUAUAAAGAGCUUAUGCUGUUACAUAUACAAUUAGAAAAAACCAAUGGAAAACAAAAGAAACAAGAUAAGAUAUUGUAUACAGACACCGAAAAGGGUGAAGCCACCAAUAGUGAUAGUCAAAUUCGAAAGUCGCAUAAUACGAUUUCAACUACCGGUAAUACUGCAACUUUAUUUUGUCACAUAAGGUUCACAUAUUUUCCUCAUUGUCUUGAAAAAGACGUUUGUUCCUUUCCUUUCAAAUAACCCAAACAGAAGAUAGCCAAAUAACAUUCAAUGUCGAAAAUUUCUUUUUUUGAGAAACCACCAAUGAAGAUGAAAUGCAUAAAUUGAUCUGAUAAUAUACCUGGUGUGACCGUAACAAAUUCGACCCAAUCUGAAAUCAAAUACCAAAUUCUAUCAAAAUCACAUUUGACAAACAAGUGAUCCACAUCUUCAUUGGAAUCACAAUCUCGCAUUGUUGAUCUUCAUUCUAAAUCACUCCCCUUUUGAGCAAAUUGUCUUUGGUGGGGAUAUGAUUAAGAAAAAGGCGCCUAGCAAAGACAUUGAAUUUGAGAGGAGCCACUUUAAGACAAAGCAUAUUAGAGUUUGCAACAUGAUUGUCAGUAUUCAUCGAUGCCAAAAAAAAGAUUAACAUAGUAACAUUUGGACGGAUGUAACUGCCAAAUCCAUCUGUCCUUCGAACCAUCCUGCAAAACAACAUUAGAUAACAACUCACAACAUUCCCUCACAUGAUCUUCCUCCCAAGCCAACAACCUCAUUCACCACCUCCAUGCAUCGCCAUUCAGGUCCCAAACUUAAGACUUCAUCUCCCCCAGAGUCACUAGUUUGUUUUCAGACAAAUCAUAAAGCCUUAUGAACCUGACACUAAACUAACCUCCCUCCAACCAAGGUAAAGGACCCAUCGCCUACUUCCCUCCACAUAUUAUCAACGAUACAAUUCUAGACCCCUAAACGAACUCCCUCGCGAAUCAAAUUAAAAUUCCUCCACCAAACUGAACCAACUCCCCCGCCAUAACAUAAUUGCCUUCUCUCCUCCUUGUAACGGGCCACUAGCACUGUAUACCAUAAACUGUCUUUUUUUUCAACAUGAUUUUCCAAGAAAAGCAAAAUUAAAUUCCCUCAUCUUCCUAACCCCCAACUCGUCCUUCUCCUUAUUCAAGCAUAGUAUGUCCCCUUCGGCCGCUAACAUGAAUAACAAAGGGAAAAGAGAAUCUCCUUGGCAUAACCCUCUUUUCAUUUUAAACUUAAAAGUCGGACUACCAUUAACCAAGACUGAUGUCAUUCUCGUAAUUACACAUUCUAUAAUCCACUUACGCCACAAAGUUUGGAAGUUCAUUUUAGCUAUAACAUCAUCAAGAUACUUCCAAUCGACAAAGUCAUAAGCUUUUUCAAAAUCCACUUUAAAUAUUAAUAAAUCUUUUUUGACCCGACGCGCAUCAUCUACCACCUCAUUAUCUAUCAGAAUCUCAUCCUAUAUUUUCCUACAUUUUAUGAAUGUCGACUGAGAUUUUGAAAUAACACUCCCAAUGACAUUUCUCUAUCUGCUAGCCAACACUUUGUACAACCAACCAACCAAAGAGAUAGGACGGAAAUUAGUCAUUCGUUGAGGACUCUCCACUUUGGAUAUAAGAGCUAUAAAAGUACAAUUAAGUCCUUUUGUCAGUUUGUCAUUCUGAUGAAACUAAGAAAAAUAAAUCGCAUCAAAUCACCCUUUAAGUCCACUCAUCGACAAUUAAUAAUAUCGGGCAAUGAUCUGAUAAACCACGAGGCAGAACCACAUGAAUAUAGUUAGGCCAUAACAAACUCAACUCUUCUGACAAUAAAAAUAUAUCUAAGCAACUCAUUGACUGACCUCAACACCUCAACUUUGUUUUAUGAAUGCACAAUACAGUUGGACAUUUGUCCUUAACUAACCUCAACACCUCCCUUCGCUCCUCCCAUCCUCCCAACCCUCUAUUAUUAAAUAUAAUUAUCUUCAUAAGGACCUCCUACUGCCACCAUCAAAAACCCAACUACUCCAAAUAUCCACCCACAUCCCUCUUUCCAUCCUCAAUUCGAGAACUGCUAACCUCACGUCCUUGCCGACCUCUACCUUCAACGCUUGAUAACACAUUAAACAUGUUAGCACUAUCCCCUUUAAACUUCACCCCAAUGGACUUGCCUAUUUCACAAACAUCUUCUACCACCACCUCAAAAUUAGCAUGUAAGAUCGUUAAAUUUUGCUAAUCAUUAUUACUAACUGAUGCAGUCGCUCCAACUGACAACGGAACACCAUUAACGUUUUGAGUAGAACGAGAAGAUUUGUUAACUAACCUUUUCUUUUUAAUUACUACGCUUUAGACAACCUCGUCACCCUCUUCAAAUCAAGAAUGACGAAAUUCUUUUCUUCCUUCGUUAUUUUGAAAACUAAAUUUUGUCACGUGUUAUAUUCAAUUCAAUGGAUUAGUUUAUACAAUUGCAUAUAGAGAUACCUAAUUCAUCCCAAAAAAAAAGUAAACUGAUAUAAUAUGUUUAUUUAAUACUAAUUUUUUUGAAUGAGGGAGACAGAAAAAAUUUAAAUCAUAUUAUUGGCUGGGUUCGCGCCGCCGCAAAAUCUGCAGUGGCGUCGGAUGACUCUCUCUUAUUCGGUGUGUGUAUAUAUAUAUACAGGAUCCGUUGACACAUGUAUAAGUUAAAAGACUUACAUCAAAUCUCAACCGUUAAUUUUAAUAAAUCUUACGGUUCAAAUUGUAUAGACAAAAGAAACUGAUAAAACACAUUACAGCUGAUCACAAAUCUCCUUCGAAAAUUUCUUGUAUCAAUGAAAAGCCUUGCAACCUCGGAUAAAUAACUGGAAUCACUGAUUACCUAAUAAUCUAAAGCAUUGAUAAUCAAGCAAACAUCAAUUAUAGAUUCUACACCACCAAUUUGUACUAUGAGAUUUAAGCCAACAGCCCUUUAAGUCAUUGUUAUGUGACAACCCUAAAAGAAUUGAGAUAUCCAGGUGCUUGUACAAGGUUCUUGGGUAUGCCAAAAUCAUAAUUCAUUCCUAACGUGCCAAACUUUGGAACUGUUUCAUGGGUAACAUACAUUAGAAGUACUCGAUUGUUUCUUUGCCAUGCGGUGCGGUGGUAAAGGAAAGCCAAAGAAAGAAGAAAGAAGAAAUUCUCAAACGAGAUCCAGUGGGAUAUGUUUUUGUUUGCUAUUUUUUCUAUACAAUUUGGUGCAAGUCUUUUGACUUGAACCGCCGUCCGCAUGGGAUUUCAGCUUCCUUAUCUUUUCUAGUUGUAUCGUCAAGUGUCAUCGGAUUGGGGAAUUUUUAAUUUGAGAGAUGAAAGGUUAUGAGACAUUAAAUAUUUGAUAUUUAAUGGUUGAGAUUGACUUACACCUGGUGUCAACCGAUUCUGUCUAUAUGUAUAUAUAUACUUUGAAAUCCUAUAAGCUUAAAUGAAAAGAAGAAGACGCCUUGGAGUUGGCAGUGAAAAUUUUUGUUGGGGUAAUUUUAAGGAAAAAAGGCCAUUAGUUGAAAUGUUUUAUAUAGUAUCCGAGUCUAGGCAGAAAAAAAAACACAUUAGAGAUGAACCUUUUAACAAGGGCGCUAAUAUGUUCUCAUGUUUACAUAUAAGAAUGAACAAAAGUAAGGUUGGGUAUUAAUUUUUAGAGAAAUCCUAUAUGGUAUUUUCUUUUUAUUUAAUUCUUUCUCUCUCUCUUCGGGUCCAACGUCAACACUUAUUCCAUGUUCAUUUUAUAGGGUGUCGGAUAUUAGUGCAGCUUGUGUUUCUUGCAUUGCAAGCAAUCUAGGUUUUGGAUGAAUUAUGGAGGAAGAAGAAGAGAGUAAUUAGAGGUUGUUAUAGAGAGAGAAGAAGUAUUGGAAAGUUGUUAUUUUCAUUGAUUGAUGAAUAGAGAGUUUACAUAGUAUUUAUAUACAUAACUUAGGCUUUGUUUGAGAGUUUGGAGAGGAGGGGAGGAAAGAGCUUUGGGAGGACAAAAAUAUAAGGGAAAAUUGAGAAAUCUUUAACUUUUUUUGAAAGAGUAUUUUUUUAGAGAGUGAUAAAUUAAUUAUGAUUAAUAUAUUUUUAAUUUUAAAAAUAUUAUAACAACAUAUAUUAAAUGUGAAGAACUCAUAUAAACCCUCUCAAACCACCCAAAAAUCCACCACUACAAUUUUAAAGUUGCCUAAAUGAGGAGGAUUUUAUAUUUGGAAGAAAAAUAAACCCCCCAAAACACCUCCUCCAAAUGUCCUUUAUUUUUUCCACUUACUCGUUCCUUUUUUUUUUUUUUUUUUUCAAACUCUCACAUCUCUUCCCCUCUAAACUUGCAAACAAAAGAGAACAGGUCUUCAUGUAACUAACUAACUAACAAACUUAUCCAAAUGUAAAGCUAAUCACAACUAACUCUGCUAAACAAUGAUUAUGGAUUAAUAACAAACUAAUAUCGGAUACGGUGUUGGUUUUUGUAAGUUAAAAUCACAGUUAUAAUUUUUAAUAACUGCUGUGGAAUUUGGAUAGGUUGAUAGUGAGUUGGGGCAUCCGCUUGCAAUGUCUAAUCCUAUAAUCUAGUCAAUAUCGAUUCCAUUUUAUCAUUACUUGAAUUUACUAAUCUACUUUUGAUUGUUGAUUGAUCAAAUUCCACUUACCUUUCUUAAUUACUUUUUUUCUGAUAUAUUUCCACUCUCUGAUUUGUCUGAAAUAAAGAGAUGUAGGUAUACUUAGUUCAAGAAAAUUGAGAAGAAAGUAUGGAGCCUGCAUCCUCCAAAUGUGUAGAAAAAGCUGUUGAUUUUGUGUUGUACCUGACUAUUCGGCAUGUGGGUUACAUCUUCUAUUACAAGGAAAAUGUUAGUGAACUAAACAGUCUAGUUGAGAAGCUAAUUCUUGAAAGAGAGAGCCUGGAACAUCGAGUAGAUAAAGCUGAGGAUAAUCUAGGAAUAACCGAAA